UGGUAUUAACGCAGAGUGAGAGAGAGAGAGAGAGAGAGAGAAAAAAAGAAGAAAAAUUACAUUCUUCCCGGGCCCAAGUAAUGUUACUUAAUGACUAAACAAAAAAAGAGCAACUGUGAAAGUGAGAUGACGAGAGAGUGAGAGAGAGAAAAGUACUUUUGGGAGAAAUGGCAUGAGAGGGGGAGAGAAAGAGAGAUUGAAUGAUUGAUCGCUAUUUUUAACUCGAGAAAAAUACCACUCCAAGUAUUGUUGCAUGCCUAGUUAUAUAUUGUACUUGCUGCCGAGCUGCAGUCUUUCUGACACCACACGAUGGAUAUUACGAUGCUGUAAACGAAUCCCAGUGAAGGGUCGGCGCGUCGCUACGUCGGUUCGAUGGCAUCAAAUCGGCCGGCUCCGGUCGAUCGUACUUUCGUCCUCUGCACGGCUAGGUUAUUCUAAUUGAGCGAGGCCGUCGGAUCGCUAACCGGAGUCGAUCGAGAUGCGACAAGCGAGACCUGCUCGACGUGCGCGAUCCCGAAUUUCCUAGUCCGUAAGCGAUAUACGCGAAUUAAUUAUUAUCGUACGCAUAUAUCACUAGCAUGAUUAAACGUGGUGUAUACGUAUCCGCGUGCGACGUGCGCCAAUCGACGACGGUACAGAUUACAAGGAGGUCCACGAAUCGAGAAUGAUCGUACGGCAUUAAUAACGAAGUUUCGAAUUUCUUCGAGAAAUUUGAGAGGGAAUUCACAAGAUUGUUAAUAUUAUCGAUAAAUUCAGCUCGAGAAACUUGGUCACGCGUUGGGUGCUCGAGUCUCCCGAUGUGAUUUCAUCAUUCUGGAUCAUGCAAUUCUGGAAAGCAUACAGUUCGAAGAGAAAAUAUGGUAAAUCUGUGAAAAAUCUACUUCAUUUUUCCGAGAAAAGAAAAUCGUUAAAUAAUGGGGUUUGCCUGCCGCGGACCGUUCUUAUAAAGUCAAAUUAAGUCUUGGUUUUGCAAUCCAUGAUCGAAAUGGCGGUCUGGAAAUGACGGUGUAGCGAAGUAUGCAAGCGCGGAAAAUGACGUGAAUUACGCCGUAAUGCGAGUUACGGGUAUGAAGAAAAAAGGGAAGUUGAUGCGUACGUUCGAAGUACAAAGAUGGCGAAUGGUUCUUUAUUAUUACAGCCUGACCGACGAACAAAUUAUCAGACCGGUCGCGUCGUUCUCCCCUGGAAUUUAAGUAGAUCUUAAGACGUUACUCGAUGUUGAAUGGCCAGUUAUCGUUAAUCGUUGAACCGCCCUUGCUGCUUACUUACCUUGGGAAAAGUUUUUAAUGGAUCGUCCGUAUGUUGAAGCGUGAAGGCGAAACGAUGCGACCGGUAUGCCGCGUUUCAUUAGAGAAUAUCUUUUCACGUCUUCUUUCUCCUUGAAGAUUCGCUGCCGAUCUCCCGGACACGCCAUUUAAGUGUUUGUUACUCUGAGUUUUUGAAUAUAUAUAAAAUUCUUCAAAUCUCUUACAAUGAUUAGCUCCUUUGUUUGUUAUGUACUGUAAAACAUACUUAUUUACAGCAAUAUGAUUUAUACAUAUUCCAAUUCGUCCAUGCUUCGUAGUAUUUUCAGAGUGUUGCAUGUUCCGUAAUAAAAUAGUAACACGAUAACGGGUACAGAAUCAAUUUUUAGUCUUAUUUUGACCGCGGAACAAAGGAAACACUUGUGAAUUUCGAUGUAUUUAACUUCUUCUCGACGAAGAAGCGUAAUCGGAAAGUAAACGUAAGGGCGUCGUAACGCAAAUCUCGCGUGGACCACUUGUGCGAUUAACUAAUACAUUCCAUUAAGAGGAGCUUAUCAGAAGGGGCGCGCGGCCCACAAAAUGUACUGUACGUUUCCUUUCCCCAACGAAUCGCCACUAUUUUGCCGGGAAAGGAAGGUGAAGAAAAGAAGGAACAAGAAGCGAGUGGAGUGAGAAUGAUCGGGCUGUAAUCAAUCAGCUGACAGCCGUUGAUUGGGCACAGCACGUGGUACGGUAUGUGUUGUAAUUUAAGAUACGUUUUUCUAGACUUAGCUCUCGCGUGUUUUUAAGGUUUAAUUGUAGCGAACGAAAAUAAGAAAGAAGGGUGUACAUGUAUGGGCGAGAUAAUAAGGUUUUUUUGCUAUGUGGUGUAUAGAUAAGAAGCCUCCAGAAGUAUUCCAGAAUGUCUGUCAUGUAAUCGUGAAUCGUUUAUUCUCUUUUAAUUUUUACCUUCGUGCGAGAGAAGGAGGGAGAAGGGGCGCCGAGGAUCUCCUUAAAACGACGAAGGGGUUAAAUACUGAAAGUAAGGUAGUAGCGCAUUAGAUGAAGUGGACAGGGAGGGAAAAGUGGGAAGACAGGAGAGAGAGAGACGGGAGAGGAGAACUUAUAUGUAUAUUACGUGUAUGGAUAUAUUAAUUAAGUCGAGUGUGUUUAUUCGUCGGCCAUUUUUCCGGUGCCGCCCGCCAUCUUGUUAUUACUAUUGUAAGUCGUAUGACAAGAAACUUAUACGAUUGAAUGUCUAGUCAUGGCCUCUCGAUAACCUUUGCUACUUUGCAUCGCGUGUAAAACAAGUUACACACUCAGCGUAUAUAAUAAUUAACACUAUUAGCCGAUAAGGUAACACGUACACGCACGUAUAUAUAAAUAUACGUACGACACGGAGACACGUGCAUGACACAUACGUACACCCGAGGAAGGACACGUGCGCGGAGCACAGGGAUAAUUACUACUAUUAUCACUAUUAUUACUAUUAUCAUUAUUAUUAUAUUAUUAUUAUUAUUAUUAUUACUCUAUUAUUCUAUUAUUAUUGCUAUUAUUAAAUUAGAAAGGGGAUUUAAUAAGGCUUUUCCUACAAUUUCGUGCUCGUCGUAAUGUCAGUCACAUUAUUAUUAUCAUUGAUUACUAUUGGCAUACGACAAUUAUUAUUCCCGCCAUUGAAUCUGUUGCCAAACGCGCGCGUUCGUCAUUUAUUAUCGAAUCAUUACGAUAUCAUGGCAUUUCCUAUAUUAAUAUUUUUGUGAAAUUAUACGUAUAUUUUUUUCCUCUGUUCGUUACUGUGGUUUAUCAAAUUUGUCGAGUAUUAUUUAUAAUCGCCGACUUUUUUAAAUAUUGUCUUUGCACAAACAUCGCGGCACAAUUCUAGUCGCCAAUUAUUUAAUCUCCGCGGUGUGAUUUUACGAUUGCAAUCGCUAAUUAUUAAUCGAUUAUUAUUUAUUAUUACUAUUACUAUUAUUAUUAUUAUUAUUACUAUUAUUAUUAUUGCUCUAAUAUUAUUUUCGUAUUAUGAUUAUUAUAUUAUUGUCAUUAUUAUCGAUAAAUUAUUGCCCAACCUAACAUUAUGCAUCAUUAUAUUCCAUAUAAAUCCUAUUCAUAUCUCUAUAUUCGCUAAUCGAGCAUAGUACAGACACAUAAUAUAAGCAUGAUACAUUACAUUAUAAAUAUAUAUGACGUAUACAUGCAUAUAUAUUUAAAUUAACUAUUAUUAUUACUUAGAUUGGUAGGAUUUUAUUAAGGAAGUUAACACGAGCAAAACAGGGAAAGAAUAAGAGAGAAAGAGAAACUGAAGCACGGAGCGGGAGAAACGUUGUUUGACAAGUUGAACAAAAAAAGGAAAGAAAAUAAGAAAAUUAAAUAGUUAGACCGCGCCUGUCGCGAUGCGCGUGUCUGGUUGAUGAGAGUAUAUAUGUAUUUUUUUAAAUUUUGAAAUGAACAAAGAACACAAAAAAUUGCGUGUGCGUGAGUGUGAGAGGGAGGCGCGAUGAAUAAAUAAAUCUGGGAACAGUACUACUUGUAGGUUAUUAAUUAACGACUAUUUAGCCGUGCGACGUCACGGUGACACUCGCGUUGAUAACGCGCCGUUGAUAACGACGAGGCGAUGGGAGAACUUAUAAGACGAGAGAUACAAAUGGAUGAAAGACAACAAUGAGACACGGGGAGAUUCAGGGGGAGGGGAGGAAUUAAGCUGAGAUUCGGAGGAGAAGGCUUGGAUGUUUCUCUUUUCGUUUAGACGAUAGUACAUUAGCUCGUUAUCGACGUAACUGUAUGUCCGUGAAUUAUCGAGUAACAUUUCCGCGCAAUCUCGCGACUCUUCUCUCUCGUAGGGACAGCUGCGUACGUUACGCAGCACUUGGACUUUUCUCACUUGCAACAAUCCCGGAUUACGGUAAUCGAUACUCACUCGUAAUGUUCUUCCGGCGAGCAAGAAACGCGGAUCCAGAACGUACGAAUGAACAAACGAGCUUGCGCGAGACAGCGCAUAAUAAAAUACAACAAUAACGGCUGGAAAUUCGCGCAAAAAUCCGCGACACUUGAUACUCUGUGUCUUAAUUCUUGUAUUCUUAGAACCAGAUGCCACGGACAUAUGUAUUCAGCCAUUUCUGUCAAUAUUUUUUUAGAGCGAAUAUGUCUUGUCUAUUAUAAAUUUUUAUGGAUAUUGAAGUAAGAAUUUUUCUUUAGAUAAAAUACUGUAAUUAUAAAAGUAUUUUAAAAAUCAGUAAAUUUCUCAUUGAAUCAGCUUCCGCUCUUGGCUAUUCUGGUAGUACAAUAAUUAAGAAAUGACGUACGGAAAGGAGAAGAAUAUUGAAAAACUUUCUUUAAUCUGCACAUAGACAUACACUGCGAUCGUUGUCGUUUUCUUUCUCAAAACGUUUACUUAUGCGAUAGGGAAGGGGAGAGUUGGUGGAAAUAAUAUACGAAGAAUUUGAGUUACACUUCCAUUAAAAGAAAGGGAAGAUGGAAAACAGGAAAUUACUUUUCUAAUGUGGCGUAACUUUAUCUCGAACAAGAUAUCAUUAGGUAUAUCAUUAAUGUAUUAAGAUUUGUUCUAAAAUUAAUGUCUCUUCGAUCUAUCCACUCUCCUCUCUACACGAACCAAUCGAUAAUGCGAAUUAAGAAAGAUGACGGUUUAGCGGUAGAAAUUUUAUAUCUCCGAGAAGCUUAUUACCUCUUCCACGAUAAAAAGUCUCUUUUUUAUUAAAAUAAUCUUAGCAUCCAAGGAGCACACACAGAAAAAAAAAUGCAAUCUUCAAAUUUUUCCGUCGUGUUAAACAUUAAAAAAUCGAAAAUUUUAAGGAUCGGUAAAAUGUUACGCUCUUUCAAAUGUUGAAAACUGAUGAUUCUGCAUCAACGCUUUUCAGAAUGUCGAUGUCUAUCGCUGGGUGAGCGCAACGAGUCGCGAGAAAACGAAAUUGAGUGAGAAAGAAAGGGAGAGGGAGUUGAGCCGUUCAAUGCGGAAAAGAGGUAUAAACUAUAAGUAUCUUCACAUGUCAAUUACUCUAGGGAACAUCAAAGCCACGGGUGAAACGUAACCUUUGCGAACCAUCAAAGGAACUUUUUAUCCCGCGAAAAUCUUUUUUCUACCAUCCUAACGUAUGUACUUUUUAACGCGUAUCCGGUUAUCGAUCGAUUCGUCCACCGCUUCCGCUUCUUCUUGGCACACCGUUCAAUUUCGAUGCACGCCGAUACGAAAGGAACAAACAAAACACAUGAACAAAAGAAGAGCGGAACCACACUGACCACGCGAAAGGCAUUAUUCGCAGCUUGGAAAUCCGCAAUUCGUUUCACACGAAAUGAAGAAAAAAAAAACAGAAAGUGAGAGAGAGAGAGAGAGAGAGAUAGAGAAACUCGAACAGGUUUCGGACGGGACGCCCGAUUCUUUCUCGGAAAUUAUGGCAACGGGACCGAAGUUUGUUUUAAAGGUACCGUUACGACAUUACACUUUUGCAUGAAAUAAAAGGAAAAGAAAUAGAAAAUAAGGAAGCGCGCGAAGUGUCGCAUUCUCGUUGGCUUGAACGGUGAUCGAUGAUAGCGCUCAGUUGACAAAUACCGACGAUCGUUGAACAAAAAUAUCAAAGUUGGUCUUUGGAAAUUUUAUUUUUGCAAAGCAAACCGAUAACGUAGAUCCGCCGUAUAGAAAUAUAGCGACUGCCGAGAGAAAGGUGACAGUCUAAUAAGAUACGUAUUGUUAUAAUUACCAAUACGAAAGAAUAAACGUUCCCUCCGAGCUGAUUGAUAGACAAAAGUCAAAAAAUGGAAGCUAACCAAGCUAGACAAAGGAGAAGCAAGACGAUCAGUUUUUCACAAACAUACACGAAUUUUUAUACGAACCAACCCUUUCGAGGCACUUUUUUACUACUUAACAUUGACUAAAGGCAUAUCUUUCAUUGAUGCACCUGUAAAGUCAUUCUUCCUUAUUAAAAAAUUGUCAUUAUUUAAUAAAUUAAAGGCAGAAAGGGGCAAAUAAGUUUACAUAUCGAAAAGUUAUCAUCUUGAACUAUUACUUUUCGAGAUAAUACCCUCGCUGUACUUUUCUAUAUAAAAAUCUCUAUCGAAUUCAAUCUCAAUCCCUCGAAAUCUGUUUCCGGACACAAAUUCUCCGAAGUCUCGAAAGGCUGAAAGAUCUUUGUAGCCGUGAUCGCGAAAAGCAGCGAAUAUAUUCCAACUAUAAACUUGUAACGACUCUUUCAACCGAACGGUUGAAUCGAACCGGACUGACGCGCGAGGGAAUUCAUACAACAAGUCUGAUUGUUAUAGGUGUUUUAAAGUUGAACAAACGGUGUUUACAAUCAUUACAAUUACGUUGUUGGAGCACGACACUAUUAUCGACUAAUUCCAUUUGGAUAAUCAUACGUAGAUUCGUUAGAAUUAGGAAUUAGUUAUAUUUUUAACGACGUAGAGACCAGACUGUACAAUGGUUUAAAGAAUUGGAACAACGCGCAAGAAUUUUUUAUAAAAUGCAGAAGAUGCGGUAUCGAUCGUUGACGCAAGAAUGGAUGUUUUUUAUUGUUAUCUAGGUGAAAGCCUCGAGCACACAUGUGAUUCUGUUUUCGAUUGAAGAAGAGCUUUGAUAGAUCAAUCGAUAAAUAAUUUACGAACAAUCUUGUUUUUAAAUAUUACAGUGGUAACACAACGGUAUCGAGAUAUCUUUGUGUAUCCGGAUAUAUUCUCUCGAUUACAAUGCGCAUUCGACAAAAAUAACAGAUUAACAUUUUGAAUGAAUGUGUAAAAUAAAAAAUAAUCUUACAUCGAAUUGUUGGUAAAUUUAGAUCGAGAUUUUGCUUGCUCGUUCUUUUUCUUUUAUGUCCCCUACUGAAAUAAUCUUACGCGCGAUAAACUCACAAGAUUUCUACUUCGAGUGCUCAAGGAAGAAUCGUUUCGUUCGAUUCUGAGAAAAUUCGCGGAAUGUAUCUCUCUAACAAGUAAAUCUUCCAUUUUGUCAGACAAAAAUAAAAGAAGUGAUCCCCAUACGAAUUACUAUACUUAACGAAUUUAACAAUCUGACGACUUGUAAUUAUUUUGAUCUUUGCUUUUUCACUUAACGAGUACGAAGUGUGUGCAAAAUUUCGUCAUGACCAGUCCCUUUAUAGAACUAAUAUUUUGUGAUUCAAAGAGAUGCCAUAAUUGAGCUACUUGAUUUCAGUUUUCUCAUCGCUCGACCAGGCAUGAUCUGGAUCCGGCCUACAAUAUCGAUAUCGAUCUUAAGUUCCGUCUCCACGUGAUAGCACGGCUUUAUUAAUCUCCGGUGUUGGAUAUUUAUUCGAUGUUCAUUGAAUUUAGCCACAUGGGGAUGGAUCUUGAGCAGAUUGAUAGAGGAUGUUUCGUUCGCUCAAACGAACUGAAUCCCUGAGAAUGUAACUUUCCAGGGCCCGAGUUAAAAAAAAAAAACCGAUAGACUUUAAAGGGGUGCGCGCAGCGAAGAAAAAAGGGAAAGGAAUGGAAAAGGAAGGAAGGAAGAGAAAGAUUUUUAGAGUAUUAUUUUGUCAUGGUAGUGUUUAUCAUAUUUAUAGGUAUAUACAUACAUUAGAGAGCCAAUGUAUCGAUUAAUGGUUAACAAUAUACGCGCAUAUUUAACGAACAUAUACGUAUAGCUAUUUUAGAAAAACGCACUAUGACUAAUUAUCGAACUAUAUGAUAUUAACAAUUUAUCGAAUAUGUUAUAUAACAUGUUUGUACGUAAUUUUUAAUUAUUAAUUAACUGCGUUUUGCUCAUGUUGCGGGGGGGGGGGAUUUUCACCGUGUGAAACAUUCGUGUUAUCGCAUUCUUAGAUUUGUAUGGGGCGAAAUGUGGGAAAUCGCACGGUUUCCGGACGCGUUCUGGUAACUUUGCAAGCGUUUAAUUGUGCUACUUUUCAAUGGCUCCUUCUGUCAUUAACUUUUCUCGAAGAUGUUCACAAUUCGGUCUAGCAAAUGCACUUAGGGUCGAUAAUCAGGAAAAUAAAAAUCAUUUUUAAUAUUACAUUCAUUUUAAAACUAAGAGGAAAAAUCCGUUUUUAGGAUAUGUCGACAAAUAUGAAAAGCACAUUUUUUAUAAUAAUUAUAAAUUAUCCAAGUUUCUAGAAUCCGGAAGAGAGCGACGAUGAGUAGCAUAUGAGUGAAGUCUAAAAAUCAAUAUUGUUAACAGCCUAAGAAGAAGAAGAAAGUUAAUCUACCGCGAACGGUUAUCACGUAUGACCGUACUAUUUGUACAAUUAUGAUCAUUAGCACGAUUGCUAUUACACUAUUCAUCGCUGCAUUAUUAUUACGACAGUUACUAUUACGACGCAUAAUAUAUUACUAUAAUAUAUAUAUGUAUAUGUAUGCAAUCGCCGUUAGUUAUCGAUCUUGAUGUCUUUUGACCCCGGUCGAACGCUCGAUCGAACGAUGCACCUCGAUCGUCCGCUCGGUCGCUUGAUUAACAUCCCCUAGAAAUAACUAAUCGGAUCUUAGACACCCUUAUCGACGAAGGCUUUGUAUAAAUAUAACCGUGUAUACGUACGACGUUACAAUCGCAUACCACCGUUGUUUGUACGUUGUGCUAAUUCCCCAUUUUAUCUACGCAAGUAUCUACUCCGCUACCUAUUUAAAAGUAUCGCGGCGCGCUUGCCAGAGUAUUAUAAUGUAUAGUCGCUUUGUGCUAACUAACCCUCCGCGAGCGAGAACAUACGGAAGAGUAAACGAUAAACUGUAACUGAACACCAAUACCGUAACAAUAUCAAUCCCAUUCCCUCUCACCCCUUUUAACCGCGUUAGAAUUACCUUUUCUCCCCUCCCCCGCCCGCCCACCCGCCCGUCCGUUUCUAUACGCCCCAAACUUAUCGAAUUAGUCCUCGUGACUAUAGUGUGGCUUUAAUUGACUUGUAUUACUCAAUCGGGUGACAUUCCGUCGGUUGACUUUCGCAUGAACGUCGAAAGAGAAGGAAACACCGCAUUUUCCGUGAAAUCCUAUGAUAUCGUUUUAUUUUCGAUUCGUGAAAAAAUAUAUUAAUUUUAUAUUUCGCGUUACGCUCGAAUCGAGAGUUUUGAGUAUAGAUGAUUAACUGUUACGAUUAUACGGCCGGUGUAAUUGAAGAAAUAAAAAAUAAUUCGCGUCAUUUUGCUGCAUGUUGAAAGUACUGCGUAUUACUAUUUUGCAUCGUAACGAUAAUCCGUUGUUGCUGUUGCGAAACGAACUAAAUUAUCAUUAAUAACUGAGAAAUCGAAAAUGUAUUACAUAUUUAAAACAAUAACACACAUGAACUGUAUAACUAUAAUUUCCAUAAAAAAAACCAAUAUUGAUCGUGGUUUUUCCUAUCAAUUGUAUAACUCGCAUAAUGUGAUAUUAUCGUAAUUGAAACAGUCUCAAACGAAAAUUUUAUUUGAUUUUAUUGCCGAAUGAAUCUUUUGAUCGCGCAUAUUUAUACAUAUAAAAUAUUUUUGAAAGCAGUAUUACAUUGUACGUACAUGAGAGCUAAUACUUUUGCAAGCUUUAAACAUUGUUGAAAAUAAAGUUGAUUUACUCGUUCGCUCAAUGUUAAAUGCGUUUAAAUCUUUUCCUGAGACAAUGGCUUUUUAUAAAAAUUCAUAGAUAAGAAAUUUUUAUUAGUGGGUUUGUUGUACUUCAUUUUUUUAAACGUUUGUUGAAUUAUUUUUUAUAAAUAAAUGUAUGAUUGUUUUAUUUUACCAGUAUUUUGCCGGUAUUAUGCUAGAUAUACCGCAUCGCUUUAUCGCAGUAAUGUCAAUAGAUCGAUACUAGCAAUCGGCGCAAAGCAUAUUCCGCGUGUUUAUAUUGGGCGUUCGAUAGCGUGCAUAUGUUGUCUUCAAUUUCCGCAAAUCCCCGAAAUCCGUAAUAUUGCAAUUAAUGUGUAACAUGUGACUGUAUGUAAUGUGUAGCCUCUCUAACUAACUAACCCCCUAAUCUAAUGUGCAUCGUGAAUGGUUCAUUCACGAGGCCUGGCGAAAUAAUAUCCGCAAUUUUACACGUAUUUACCUCACGCAAUUACCAAAUUGUGCGUGUACGUGCAAUGUAUCUGCUAGUGCGAAAUAGCUCAGAGAUGCAUUGAACGAGUUUUGCUUUAUUUCCAAAGUACGAAUGUUUGCAAUUAUUGAAAGAAGAGUAACGCUCGCAUGCCAUAUUCAUACUUUGUCAUACUGUCAUACUUACGCGAGAGAGAAAGGGCAGAACUAAAUCUCUCACGAUACAGCGCGCGAGAUAGACCUUUUACUUAGACAGUCAUAAAUUCCGACACGAUUUCGCGAUGAUUUGAAAAUUUUAUCCAAACGGUCCAAGCACAGAGCUCGGCAACGGAAACCGUAGAAGAGAUUCUUCUAGAAUAUCCCUCGAAAUAUUUCUUCCUCGCGCGCGUUGCACGCUGACUUGAUAGGUGUUCACCCCCUGUAGUAUCGCAUUAUUUAUCAACAUCGAAACUUUUGAGAGACUGUUUUUUAAUCCGUCGUAAUGUUCGAACGUUAGACAAACGGCGAUUGCCCAUUUGUUGCGAGUUAUCGCCGACGCUGUUACAAGUUGCUCCGUGCAGUAAUCGACUGUGAAUCGAAGGCAACAUAUUUCGAUAUAUCUUAUCGAUACGCUGAUAGCGGCACUGUUCAGUAGAAGAGUGUAUUAUUGAAACCGCGAUAUGAAGCAACGUGUUGACAGCCGUAGGCUGUCACAAGUAACACGGAAAACGUACUAUUUGUUGCUGAAAUGUUUAUUGUCCUCUAUUAAAUGAUAAUUAUUAUACGUGCGGCGCGUAAAGCCGGCCCUUGUAAAAAUUCGUUGAUCAUGAUCCCUUGACUAGAAUAUUUUUCUGCACACAAAAUAUUUUUUUACCGGGAGAAUGUGAAAGUUAUAGCGGAUUAAAACGCGAUGAGUGCUAAUUAAUCAAGUUACGUGAUCAUCGUUUUACCGAUGUUAUUUCGGACAUUGUUCGACUAAUACAUGUAUAUUUGUUGUUUCUCAUUUUCUAAUCUUGCCACGCACAAUAAGCAUCAUAACGGUAAACCGCACUACUAGACUAUAAUUUUUCUUAUAACGUAUAGAAAAAAGAGAGCAAGAUACUAACGCGACUAAUCGAUAUCAAAAGACGUAAUACCUCGCCAGUAUCCAAAUUGGAACAAAUUACUUUGAUAUUAAUUAAUAUCGCGAUCCUUGAUUUACUAAAAGUUAUCUACGCUAGAAUAUAAUCUAAUAUUGUUUCGUUCUAGUUUGGGGGGUGUAGAAUUAACUCGUGCAAGAUUUCGCGAUUCGUCAAGAAACCUAAUGCAAUUUGCAAUCGGGAUCUAAACGUCACUCGAGAAAAUGCGUUUUCUUCGUCGUGUUUUAGCGCUGAAUGCGGCUUCUAAGCUUCGCCUGCUUUGCUAACGUAAGGAUUCACGUUCAAAAUUAGCAAGACGAAAGCAUUAGACACUGUAAUCGAAUAUGAUGAGAAUUCAUAAAUGUAACCCCACCCUAUACGAUACGGAUCUGAAAAGAGACCUUUUUUUAAGUUAUCGAAAAUCAAGUAAGGGAGUCUUAAGUGAUGAAAUCUCUUGACGAAAUCUUGUUUUCUUAAGCUUAGUUAGUAAAACAUUUAACGGGAAUUAGCAGGUCAAUAACCGAGUAAAUAAGUGAUAAUUAACAGACGUAACCAAUUUGGCGUCAUUGAUAAGUCUAAGUACACUUUUUUAUAUGCAGGAAGAGAAUCGAACGGCCGAAAUACGUUUAGCGUUAAAAGGCGUGCCGAGAACGCGGUCUCUGUUAUCUCGUAAUAACGCGAUCGAACCGACAACUGUUUUCCUCCUCGGCAGACGUUACGAUCGCGCGUAUACCUUCGUAGGAUUUAGGCCAGUCGUGUAGUAAAAACCGCUCGUAGUAAGCCACGUAGUCGGGCGCUCCGCGUCAGGAAGUGACCCAUUUGUAGGGAUCUCUUUAUUAAGUAAGGACUUUAAGGUAGCUAUUCGGUUUUUCUCUUCUUGUCGAUAGGUAUUAUAGGCGGGGUCCACCUCAGGGUCGACCGCAGUCACGCGUGUAGAUUAGCAAUAGUGAGUCGUAGCGUAGCGAUUAUUUCGACGCACCUAUUAUUAUAACCCUUCGCGCACGCGGAUAUGAGAGAGAGAGAGAGAGAGAGAGAGAGAGAGAGAGAGAGAGAGAGAGAGAGAGAGAAAUGGGCCCUCUGGAUUCAAAGCGUGGCGGAAGUAUCGCGGAUACGCAUCGUUCCCCGCAUACACCCCUCUCGUUCAGUCGUGAGUCUCUCGCCAAAGGUGGUCGCCGAAGGGCCAACGGAGAGAAAAGGGUCUCGUAUUUUUGUCUCGUUGAACGUUGGUCUUACCGAUACGCGGGACGCUUCUUGACGCAUCUGCCAAGUAUUUCAGGGAUUCUGGAAACCCGAACACGAAAAUGAGAAAUAACCGUACGAACCGUUUUUAUCCUUUUUUAUUCGACGAAAUACACACGGAUGACGAAAUAUAAAUAUUUUAUUAAAUCUGAGAUACGGAUGUAUGACGGAAGAUCACUGUACAACGAUUCGUACGGGAGAAUAACUGCGGGUAUAUAAAUUGUUAGGGCCAUGAUGGUAACACAGUGAAAAAAAGAAUAAAAUUGACCCUGCGGUAACGGCACGCGUUAAGAAACACCCCGUAGUAUCGUCAUUAAACGUUUGAGAAAAUUUAUUUUUCUACUGCAUACAUCGCGCGUCACCGUGUCGCACAACAGCGAGCAUCUUCGUUUUGCGGAACGGCGUUCACUCGUGAUUCUUACUCGUGGUUUUCGUACCGCGGUUUGAAAGAAGAUCGGAGAUUGUUGAACACUAGAACACCCGGAGGUGGAACAAUCUGUUCACCGACGAUUUCAUUUAAGGUUUAACGGCAUAUCUCGAGGAGAUUGUAAAAAAGGGGGAAUAUAUGUCUCUCUCAGUACGCUAGGUAUAUUUUCUUUGUCGAUGCCACUCGUCUGAGUUCGAAACUCCACGUGCGAAAACGCAUCACUUUCAUCCUCGAUCUUGAGAAAAAGACUUGUUUUUCCUCUUCUUUUCGCAUACGGCGGAUUUUGAGGGAACGCCAUGUGCGAACGCGUUCUAUGCAACGUGUAUAUAGACAUCCAGCGUGUCAAGCCGCGAAGUUGUUGCUCUUUCCUUUAUACAUUAUUCAACGCUCGCGACUCGGUUUCCGAUUUGAUUGCGCGUAGUUUCUGGAAGAGAACGGCGUUCGAUCGUGGAAACGGCCGGACGUUCUGGUGUUAAGCAAACGCAGAUAGGAAUUUUGCUGCGUAGGGGCGCCGAGAGAGGCGAGGGGUGGCUGAGAGGGCAGGAAAUCUAAAAUCCCGCUGACUUGGGAGAAUUGGAAGUUUUGUGAGGAAAGAGGAGAGAGGAAGAGGGGAAGAGCGAUCGGACAUUUCUUUCCGAUAUUUAGAACGAGGACUCGCGACAACGCACACAUAUUUAACGCACAUGAGAACAGAGAAAGAGAGAGAGAGAGAGAGGGCCAAGGAAAAAGAAAAGGAGGAAGAAAAGGAAGAAUUAACGUAAACAGCACACAAAACACAGCGAAAGAGACACGUACACGUAUCGAUUAUGCUAUGCGCGCACAACAUUCAACACGUUAUAACCAUUGUAUAAAGAAAUCGCCGUUAGCGUAACUAUUACCUUUGCAGGGAGAUUGUAUAAGGAACAUUUCGCAUGCACAUUUUCACACGCACCAUUCAUACUCUCCCCGCGGCAUUAGUAUCCCUCUUUUGCGUCUCUGCGCUCUUUGCUAUUAUCGCCAGAUGAAAAUAAUCGACGUGGAGCAGAGUUAUUGACCAAGUCUCGAAGAAACGAUCGUGAGCAGAAAGAAAAAGAGAAAUCGUACGCUUUCUCGAAAAAGAAUAGAUUCACCUCACGAGAGAGAGAGAGAGAGAGAGAGAGAGAGAGAGAGAGAGAGAGAGAGAGAACUUUGUUACGGAAAGACAUUACUUUUUUAAAUAUAAUUUUGCAAAUCCAAAAAUAUUCAUCAGAUAUUCAUACGAAGUGAUAUAUCUGCGAAAGUCAGUACCGGUACAAAGAAAUGUCGCUUCGGGCGGAGCAAGGCGAGAGAGAAAGAGCAGAGAUAAAAGAAAAGGGGAGAAUUCGAGAAAAGCGCCGUGAGCAAGGUCGCCACCUCUUGGGAGUCGCGCUACCACCUUGCACAUCUUCUCAUCCAUCCUGUAAGACUGAACGAUUCUUCAUAUGUAUUCGCGUGACUUCUGAAAGAGGCGUGACGAGCGUACGGGAUUCUCGUUUCUUAAGAAAAAAAGAAAAAAAAAACAAGAGAAAAAGGGAAAGGAGACGAGAGGAAAUUGUGCUUCAUGAUAAUGCGCACGAGGCGAACAGAUGCGUGAGGAAUGCUACGCGCUACGAUUCGAGAGAAAGAACUUGGGUGAUGGAAAACGAUGAGAAUCUAUACAUUUUUGGGAGUGCUUUUCGUCGCGCGAAAAGUUUGACGCACUGGCGAGACAGGGUCGGCCGAGAGUUUUACCUUUGCGAGGAGAGUGAGUUUUUCUCUCGAAGGAACGUACGUUCGAAAGUUACUCGCAGAAAGUAAAACUCCCGAGGAUGUGAACACGAGAAAUGGACGGAAAAGGGUGCGGGACGGAGGAGCCAGGGAUAUUAUCGAGGCGUAAUCGAUAAAAAAUGUGAAGAAAAAAAAAAGAAAAAAAAAGACGUAAUAACGAUUGAUUCUAACUCUAUCUCUAUAUUCUUCUACCAAUUAUAUUUUUCUAAUUAUAUUUGUACGUUGACUCGUAAGCUAAUCGACCAAGCGAUGUUUCGUGCUUGUGGUAGAACGAGGACGGGGAGGAGAAAAAACGCGACAAAAUUUAAAAAAAAAAAGAAAGGAAAAAAGAUGUGGGGAAACGGGAGAGGAAGAUAGAGACACGUUGCCGGGUUUAAAAAAAAAAGGGGAGAGCGGGAUGAAAGCAGCGAGGUUCGCGUUGCACGUUCGUGACAACUACAAUAAACUGCGUCGCUCGUUUUCACGUAGACGAUUCGGUCUAUCUUUUUUAUUCUCGACGAUCGGCCCUUUAGUCUUGACGCUUACUGUGGUUUGCGAGAACAACAUCCGCGAGACUUUGGUGUAAUUUCGGGGGCGAGUUCAAGCCCUGACGUUUCGCGGAAAAGACGAGAGAGUAAUCUCUGUCUUCAUCGCUCGUCGGAAGCGACAAGAGCGAAACGUCUUUUUCUUCCCCUAAUCGCGAUAUUUAAAGAAUUUCGUACUCAUGGGAAUUACAUCGAUUGCAAUUCUCGCGCACAUACCAUUUCUAUUCGCGUGCAGAGCUGAGUUGCUUUGACAACAACGAAGGACAGACCCUCGGCUGCCCUUUUCGCGAAAUAUCUAUCAGCUGUACGAGUGAAUAGCGUAAAAAGAAGAUUACCGUUCGAAUAAAAUGAAGCUAAUUGCGCUUUGUCAAUCGAGAUUCGCUCAGAAAUCUCGAGAGAGGACAGAGUUUCAUCGAAAACUGACAAAGACGUCUUUUUUUUUACCUUUUGUAUCUUUUUGUUCAUUAGCUCGAACAAGCGGAAUAGAAGAGUCCCGUUUGAAACGCGUUGCGUUUAAAAAUUCCCUCUUCGCGGGUCGAACGAGUUGUAACGUAUUCCUUUUCGUUCACUCAGCUCUGUGCGCGGAAAAAAUGCGGAUGUAUUUAAGACUACGUAUGCACAAUACCGUAUCAGAUCGAAUUUGUUAGACCGAUUUCACCCACGCUCCUGGUAUGCCGCGCCUGGCGCUCUUACGGUAGCUUUUCAGUUGAAAAGAGAGAGAGGAAAGUGUGAGGCACGUUUGCUCGAUCUGACUCGGUACGAAUAUCAACUCUACCGAAAUAUUAAUAUCGAAAUAUUAAUCUCCAAAAAGCGCUAUUCGGAAUUUUUCGUGCGGUACGGCGAACAAGUUCUUUCACUAAAGACUAAAGCAAUCUAUUAGAAUUUAUUUUUAUACUGCAAAAGAGUCCUCGUUCGAUGCGAAAUAUAUGUCGUCGCAUUUGUACGAAUGUCAAGUGGAUCAUUAAGCACUAUCAGGUUUUUCCUACGGACUUUCCGCGUCAAAUGUGGCCAGUCCGCGAUCGCGGACGGCGGUGAAUUAAUAUUAACUAUCAAGCUGCUACAAUAAUAACUUUUAAUGAAUUCUUACUAACAAUAUUAUAGCGCGACCACUGCGAUUUCUACCGAGCAGUAUAUUAUGGCGAAUUUACGGCGAUUAACGAUCCCCGUGGCUUUCAUCGACGUGAUCAAGAUGAUGUUUGCUCUUUAUCAAAUCAAAAACUAAACAAGUCUCUCUCUACGUAAUCCACAAAAGUUUGUAUUUUUGUGUAUAAUGGAGCGAGAUGGUGCACAUCGACGCGUUCUCCACAGAGCCAUGGCACUUGUUACGACUAAUUUCGCACGAGAUACACGUACACGAUUUGCGAGGUGAAGGAGAAGGGGAGAGGGAGGGACAGCCAGAAGGGGUGAAAAAAGGGGGGGGGGCGCAGUGGCUCAAGUCGCGUGGAAAAAGAACAAAACGGGGAGAGAGCGACGUCGGGCCCGGGGCGCGGCACUCUCUCUUCGAGCGGGGCGCACCAGACACAAAAAGAAAAAAAAAAAACCAUUAUUAAUCAAUGUGCAAAAUAAUAAACUCGAAGUUCAGUCUCGAACGGCGCGGACAAUUCUUUUAUAUCGCGUUUAUUCGGCGUUGUUAAGUCUUAGCGUUAAUGAUCGGCCAAAGGAAAUGCACACCAACGCGAUACGGCGUACACGCGUGUAUAAACACACACACACACACACACACACACACACACACAAGUACGCGAUAUAUCUCGAACACAGUCAGACACAACAUACGUACACUUUUCAUUUUCUCACCGCUCCCUUCCGGGUGCAGAACAAUGAGAGCCGAAAGACACUAGUUUCUCAUCGGCAAUCAGCCGUUUGCACAUUCCACACGUCAAUCGAGCGACUGAAAGCUGCCGAUGUCCUGCACACGGUAUGCGUACAAUACAAUUUACUCUCGUAUACACAAAAACACGCAACACACAAUUUGUGCGAGAAUCUCGCGAGAAUCCGCGAGUCCGUACGAAUGGUAUAAUUAAUUGCGUACGUAUAUACAUAUAUUAAUCACGAACACGCGUACAUCUACGAGUAUAUCUAUACGUUUGUAAUAUGUAUAUACAUGUAUUAUCAAAAGAGGUGAAGUAGAACGUAAGCUGAUCGCGGCUACUUCGAGAAAUCAAAUUUGCGUGCGCGCGGGCGAUGUUGUGAGGACGUGUGAGGGACCGAGAGAAUGAGAGCGAGAGAGCGGACGGGCGAAGGGGGGAGGAAAAACGAUGGAGAUAAGUAAAUAAUAAUAAUUGACGAUGACUGUAAACGGUUAAACAAGCGCCGCGGGGGGCGCGGGGUGUGCGCGCGUCGUCGGUAUCGUCGAAUGUUUCUUCGUGCAAAGAGGGAAAUUCGAGUGUUCGUCGGAGUGCUCGUGAUGGGCGAGCAUGUAAACGCAGCUCUCUCUCCAACGAUAAUUGCAUAUAAAUGUCGAUCGCAUCCAGUUUGUAAGCAGGCACAAAAAGUCUUCUUACAACUUUUAAUUUUGCACUUCUGGCAAAGUGUUUUUGAAUAAAUUUGAAGAACUUAUUCGAAUGUAUGAAUUCGCGCAAACAUUCUUACAAAAAUUAUAACUUGGCGCAAAGAUGCAUUCUACGCGAUGCAUGGCAUUUCGUGAUUAAUCGUUUAUUAGCACAAGUGCACAACAAGAUCACUUUUUUUCUUACUGGAGAUACGAGACGACAUCGCGUUUACCCCCAUCAUAAUCACUCCGAUAAAGCUUACGACGAUAACGUCGGUGCUCCUUCGGCGAGCUUCCUGUUUGAUAACGUCGCGAAGGAGGAACGACACUGUGAACAGUAUUCGUGACGAUUUGGUGAUUAUACCGGUUUUUGAAAAUCGCGAAGCGCGGCGUUACGUCUUGUUUUGCAUAAUGAAUCGAUGAAAAACGGCUGUAAAUCUGUAUAAAGGGUUUUCCAGUUGAAAUAAUUAUUUUAUUAAACUUGGUCGUUUGUACGUGUGCGGUUUUUGCGGUGCAACGGGGAGAGAGUAUAUAUAUUCGGGGGCGAUAAUAUAUAUGUAUACGUGUACGUGCGCGCUUGGAAUUGGCUCAAUUCUUCCUCAAUCGCGAAGAGACCGCCCUCUCAAAAAUGUAUUUUUGUUACUGAUGAUGUUAGACGUACACCUGAGAGAGGCAAAGAGAGAGAGAGAGAGAGAAAACGUGAAAGCCUAUAAAUAUAUAUUUUUCUCUCAAAGGACAGGAAAAACUUCCUUCUGUGUGUAGUCACUUUCGAUAAAAAAAAGUCGAACAAUUUUGAUGCUAGAAAUAAAUCUUUCAAAUUCAAUUCUGUACCGUGACUAUAGACUUUCAAUACUAAAAGCAGCUGUCGUGGAUUAAAACGCUGCGAAUUUUUACCAAAGAUUACGUAUUGUACCUAUCAGGAGUUUCUCUCUCUCUCAAAAAAAAGAAUAAAAACCAAAACGCAAAAAACAAAGCUUUCAAGUGUACGUCAGACUUUGCUCGUACAUGCGACGGUGACGUUGUUGGUAGAACGGAUUUGUAUUAUGGUACGUGCUCGCUCGGUUUUUGAACGAGAGGAGAGGAAGCAGAUUUUCGAUACCGCGGAUACGGCACGUCGAGAAGGUUGAGAAAGAUUUUUCGUGACGCAACGGAUCGGCGUAACGUCCGCAACCCCUCGUUCGCAAAGCCCCCCCUCGGUCGCCGAUUCACGUUUGUUUGGUUUUUAUUGUCAGAAGUUUCUAUUUUUCCAUAAUACGAUAAGGGACGAUAAUAUUUACUAUUGAUAUAUAUGUAUGUGUGUAUAUGCGUGUAUGAGUGUAAGCGGCAGCGUCCGGUCGAGAUGAUGUAAGAGAGAAAGAGAGAGAAAGAAGGAAAGAAGGAGAGAGCAACCAGAUCGAAGCAAGUUUUUUUUUUAUGACGACACGGUUUGUUAAACAUUAAAAAAAGGCCACACGUAUUUGCGCGCGGAAGGUACUUUAACAGUGCCCAUCAUCGGGGCUCGAAAAUCGUCCGUCGUGUUGAUAAGGGAAUUGUUGCUAUUAAGUACAGAGGCUUAAUCGCAAAUGAUAAGAUUUGUAUGUAUGUGUGUGUGUACGCGCGCACGCGCGCGGGUGUGCGUGUGUGUGUGUGUGUAAGAAAAAAUAAAGGCUUAAGAUCAUACUUCUUGUUCUUAAUUCUUUUUUUCUUUCUUUUUUUUAAAAAUUGAUUUUCGAGCCCCGUAUCUGUUAUUACCUAUGGCGAAAGAUAUGAGAUGUAGCAAUGAAGAUAAAACAAGAAAUGUUGCAAAGUUACCCAAGUUGAAGCGAUAAAGAUAGAGGAACGGCGGAGUGAAGGCGAAUCGGAUACGAGUGAGUGCGAGCGAAAGGGAGAGACAAUUUUUUUCUUGUUAUGAACUAAGUGUGCCUAGUCAAUAGAGAAUAUAUCUCGUCAAUUUUAAUAUUAUAUAUAUUAUAUAUAUUAUAUAUAUAUUACUACGAUUAUAUGAUUUAAACUUGAUACUCUCUGUAAUAUUAACGAUGUGGAAACCUAUUGGACGCGAGGAUAAGAGGAGAAAACGAAAAAAAAAAAGGAGAAAAAAAACGUAAUGAGAUGCGACAAUGAUUGUGCUGUGUUGUACUACGAAAAAUGUUGGCCUGUGACUUAUAUUUGUAGCGAUUAUACGUACGUACCCCCGCAUAAAAAGAAAGAAGAGACAAAAAGGAGAGACGGUAACAACCAGAUACUAAACAAUGAAGUAAUAACGAUACGCGAGUUACACACACACACACAUACGUACAUAUAUAUACGUGUCUAUAUAUGUAGGUUGUGCGACUUUUUUCAGUCGGGAGAGUCGAACUUCUCGAAGAGAAUCGCGAAUAAUUGCAAUUGAUGAAACCGAAAUCUGAUCUCCCGAAAAAUGUUGAAUCUCUAAUUUUAUUCUUUUGAAAAAAGCAAUAAUUAUGUUUUUGCUCGGGAGGAGAUCUCGAAAGAAAGAUGCGAGCUCAGAAUCAGGCGAGUCGCAUCAAGAACGCAGCUUGCUGCAAUAAAGUAAUGAUCGCGAUUUCUGCGAAUUAUUCGGAAUCAAAAUUGUCAAGAAUGUCAAGAAGCUUCGCGAUUCUCAUCCUUCAGUUACGCAGGCAUGAGAGCCAAAGCUCGUAAUAACAGUCGGAUCACGAGAACAGCACUCAUGCGUGCUUCGACUCGUAUUGAGGGUAGAAAACUUGAGAGAGCUACGAGAGAACUUGAAAGGAAUAUAAAAGAAUUUUGAGAAUGACAAACGGUAAAGUGGAUCAACGAUAAAUUCGUUUGGCUCUUUGUUGCUCCCUCUCUCAUUUUUUCUUGCCCAUUUCUUUCUUUCUUUUUCUCACUCUCUCUCCUUCUCUCUCUCUCUCUCUCUCUCUCUCUCUCUCUCUCUUUCUUUUCUCUCUUACAUGUUUAUAUGUGUUGAAAAUGUAAAACACAAUUUUUGAGCGUACGGUAUGAAAAGUAGCGAUACCAAAAAAUAAUAAAAAUCGUGCGUGUAAGAGUGCAAGUACGUAUGUAUGUAUGUAUGUAUGCGAAAAAAAGAUACCGAACGAAAAAUAUUUUUUCUAAUAAAGACUCGUCCCAGUCAUGGCAAACGCAAUCUCCUAUCUUGUUAUGUGCGAAACUGAUUCGCUAUUAAUGAUUAAUUCGUUGUAAAAGCAGAUGUUAAAUUAUGAGUGAGAGAAGUAGAAAAGAAGUAAGUGAGUGAGAGAGAGAAUUUUUCUUAAAAAAUAGUAUAAGAAGAAUAAGAUAGUGAAUAAGAGAGAGAGAGAGAGAGAGAGAGAGAGAGAGAGAGAGAGAGAGAGAGAGAGAGAGAGAGAGAGAGAGAGAGAGAGAGAGAGAUGGAAAAAGCAAGAUAUUAAGGGUCAUAUCAAGAUUGGUUAUGGAAUAAGAGGGCUAUUUAUUUAGGAUAUAACUAAAUGGUCUGUUUUAAUGUGUCACGGGCUACACGUACUGUACUAUAAUAUCUAACAAUAAAGUAUUUUGUUUGCUUCAAGAAAUUUUAUGCUUUAUUUGUCCAUAUCAUUUUACGUUUAAAAAAUUCAAAAUUUUAAAGAGAGUACAAAUAAAUAAAUAAUUGAUGUUAAUCUGCUUUUAACAUACGAAUUUAACAUGUGGAUGUUAAUAGACAAGUACAAGAAGCAAACGGAUAUUGACGUCCGAGCUGACGUUUACUUCUACUACUGUCAAUUUUAACUAUCCGGUAAGUAGAAAAAACAUUGAUUAACCCGACAUGAAAAUAUUUAAAUUAAGAAUAUUUUGCGAAGAAAUUUAAUAAUUACUUUACAGAAUUUAAUUCACAAAAUUUGCAAAACACAAAUUUUAAUUCGCAAAAUAUAAUUAUUACAUUCUGGAAAGUUUUAUUAUUUUUUUAAAUAUAUUCCGAGAGAGAGAGAGAGAGAGAGUUUUAUAUAGAAAGUUUUAAAUGACCUGAAUAAUCAAUUUGCAUUGCUAAUUAAAUAAUAUGUAUGUAAUAUAAUGUUAUAUAUAAAUUGACAGUACAAUAAAAUGUGUUAAAUGCGAUACAUUUGAACUUAUCAAACAUUUGACGAGCUAAUGUGACAAGCGCUAAUUUUAUUUUAAUCAUUUAUAAUUAACAUAUUUAUUUAACAUAUUUAUUUAUAAUUAAUGUACCUACAUCAAUAUCUUCAUAUAGCUGUGUGUAGUAUAAGAUUAUUUCAUCCUAGUACAAUAUAUUAUGCAUAUACUUUUUAAUCGAUUAUCUGUUUUUUUUUUUGUUAACAUUAUCAAUGUAACUUGCAUUAACCAAAGAACAAUAUAAAAAUUUAUUGUGCUGAGAGAAGUAUUAUUUUCUCUGUAGAUAAUUUUAAUUUUAUAAAGCUUUUUAUAGAUAUUUUUACACUUAAUAUGAAAUGAUUAUAUACUUCUUUUAAUGAGGGAACGAAAGAAAAAUAAUAGACGUAGGAAAUGUAGCGUGAAAAGAACAACAAAACUCUCUCGUUUAUAUUGAAGACUGUCCAUGCUGUUCGAAGGAACGAGGGAAACAAAGAAAGUACUGGAUCACGAAACGAGGAGGCAAGAUAUAUAGUCAGGAGCCAUCCGUUGGUGCUUCCAAAGCGUUCUUACCUACGUAUAAGCGGAGUCUCGUAAAAGAUUUCUACGCCGAUGGAUUAGCCGGAUUACUAUCCAGCUGGAACCAUUUCAUCGCUGUGUACAGCCAUGUAGGUACGCGCAUUAUGGAUGGAAAAUGUUCGACCCUUUUUUAUUAUACAGAAAAUAUUCUGGAGCGCAAUUUUUUGAUAAAUUUCUCGUUUUCUCUACAUUCUAUAUAGUUUUAAUAUUAUUACUUUCUUAUUAAAAUGUUCCUUAGAAAGAUUUAAAAAACAACUUAAAAAACACCUAUAAUGAUAAUAUUUAUACUUAAAUAAGAAACAUGUACUUAUUAGAGGUUUUCGAAUUUUUUAAAUAUAAUUUAUUAUUAUUAUUUGUAACAAAUACAUUUUGCGCUAUUAAGUAUUACACUACGUUUCAAUUUAUAAUAUAAUAGACAAUAUUAAUAUGGAAAUAAAUU